rnacentral:snRNA from 2 species
AUACCUUUCUCGGGCUUUGAGUAAGAUCAAGUGUAGUGACUGUUCUUAUCAGUUUAAUAUCUGAUAUGUGAGUCAUCGGUCCACAAGAUAUUAACAAGAAUGGUCAGAUGAAUUAUAUAUACCUUUCUCGGGCUUUGAGUAAGAUCAAGUGUAGUGACUGUUCUUAUCAGUUUAAUAUCUGAUAUGUGAGUCAUCGGUCC